rnacentral:rRNA from 1 species
GACGAACGCUGGCGGCGUGCUUAACACAUGCAAGUCGAACGGAAAGGCCCUGCUUUUGUGGGGUGCUCGAGUGGCGAACGGGUGAGUAACACGUGAGUAACCUGCCCUUGACUUUGGGAUAACUUCAGGAAACUGGGGCUAAUACCGGAUAGGAGCUCCUGCUGCAUGGUGGGGGUUGGAAAGUUUCGGCGGUUGGGGAUGGACUCGCGGCUUAUCAGCUUGUUGGUGGGGUAGUGGCUUACCAAGGCUUUGACGGGUAGCCGGCCUGAGAGGGUGACCGGCCACAUUGGGACUGAGAUACGGCCCAGACUCCUACGGGAGGCCGCCGUGGGGCCUCUUGCCCCCUGGGCGGAAGCCUGAUGCAGCAACGCCGCGUGCGGGAUGACGGCCUUCGGGUUGUAAACCGCUUUCGCCUGUGACGAAGCGUGAGUGACGGUAAUGGGUAAAGAAGCACCGGCUCACUACGUG